AUCCAGCUGAUGAGUCCCAAAUAGGACGGAACAUGAGUCCUGAAU
rnacentral:hammerhead_ribozyme from 1 species